UGGGGAAUCUUGCGCAAUGGGCGAAAGCCUGACGCAGCGACGCCGCGUGUGGGAUGAAGGUCUUCGGAUUGUAAACCACUGUCGCGAGGGACGAAGCUCUGACGGUACCUCGAAAGGAAGCACCGGCUAACUCUGUGCCAGCAGCCGCGGUAAUACAGAGGGUGCGAGCGUUGUCCGGAAUCACUGGGCGUAAAGGGCGCGUAGGCGGCCCGGUAAGUAGGGGGUGAAAUCUCAUGGCUCAACUGUGAGGCUGCCUUCUAGACUGCCAGGCUUGAGCACAGUAGAGGCGAGUGGAAUUCCCGGUGUAGCGGUGGAAUGCGUAGAGAUCGGGAAGAACAUCGGUGGCGAAGGCGGCUCGCUGGGCUGUUGCUGACGCUGAGGCGCGAAAGCGUGGGGAGCAAACAGGAUUAGAUACCCUAGUAGUCCCUGAGCGGGCUGGCAAGGCGCAU
rnacentral:rRNA from 1 species